rnacentral:rRNA from 1 species
AUUGAACGCUGGCGGCAGGCUUAACACAUGCAAGUCGAGCGGGGGAAGGUAGCUUGCUACUGGACCUAGCGGCGGACGGGUGAGUAAUGCUUAGGAAUCUGCCUAUUAGUGGGGGACAACAUCUCGAAAGGGAUGCUAAUACCGCAUACGUCCUACGGGAGAAAGCAGGGGAUCUUCGGACCUUGCGCUAAUAGAUGAGCCUAGGUCGGAUUAGCUAGUUGGUGGGGUAAAGGCCUACCAAGGCGACGAUCUGUAGCGGGUCUGAGAGGAUGAGCCGCCACACUGGGACUGAGACACGGCCCAGACGCCUACGGGAGGCAGCAGUGGGGAAUAUUGGAGAAUGGGGGGAACCCUGAUCCAGCCAUGCCGCGUGUGUGAAGAAGGCCUUAUGGUUGUAAAGCACUUUAAGCGAGGAGGAGGCUACUUUAGUUAAUACCUAGAGAUAGUGGACGUUACUCGCAGAAUAAGCACCGGCUAACUCUGUGCCAGCCGCCGCCGUAA